rnacentral:rRNA from 1 species
GACGAACGCUGGCGGCGUGCCUAAUACAUGCAAGUCGAGCGGACUUAAAAAGCUUGCUUUUUAAGUUAGCGGCGGACGGGUGAGUAACACGUGGGCAACCUGCCUGUAAGACUGGGAUAACUUCGGGAAACCGGAGCUAAUACCGGAUAAUCCUUUUCUACUCAUGUAGAAAAUCUGAAAGACGGUUUACGCUGUCACUUACAGAUGGGCCCGCGGCGCAUUAGCUAGUUGGUGAGGUAACGGCUCACCAAGGCGACGAUGCGUAGCCGACCUGAGAGGGGGAUCGGCCACACUGGAACUGGGACACGGCCCAGACUCCUAGGGGAGGCAGCAGUAGGGAAUCUUCCGCAAUGGACGAAGGUCUGACGGAGCAACGCCGCGUGAGUGAUGAAGUUUUUCGGAUCUUAAAACUCUGUUGUUAGGGAAGAACAAGUACGAGAGUAACUGCUCGUACCUUGACGGUACCUAACCAGAAAGCCACGGCUAACUACGUG